AGGGUCCUGAAGGAACGUUGAAGACGACGACGUUGAUAGGCCGGGUGUGUAAGCGCAGCGAUGCGUUGAGCUAACCGGUACUAAUGAACCGUGAGGCUUAACCUUACAACGCCGAAG
rnacentral:rRNA from 1 species